UUGGCUGCGAAAAUUCCUAUAAAAUGUCUCUCUACCCAUCUCUUGAAGAUUUGAAGGUAGACAAAGUAAUUCAGGCUCAAACUGCCUUUUCUGCAAACCCUGCCAACCCGGCAAUUUUGUCUGAAGCUUCUGCGCCCGUCUCUCAAGAUGGAAAUCUCUACCCUAAACUGUAUCCGGAGCUUUCCCAAUAUAUGGGACUGAGUUUAAGUGAAGAAGAAAUAUGUGCAAAUAUGGCCAUGGUUCCUGGAGCACCAAUUCAGGGGCAAUUGGUAGCACGACCUUCCAGUAUGAACUAUAUGGUGGCUCCUGUAACAGGCAAUGAUGUUGGAAUUCGUAGAGCAGAAAUUAAGCAAGGGAUUCGUGAAGUCAUUUUGUGUAAAGAUCAAGAUGGAAAAAUUGGGCUGAGGCUUAAAUCAAUAGAUAAUGGUAUUUUUGUCCAGUUAGUCCAGGCUAAUUCUCCAGCCUCAUUGGUUGGUCUGAGAUUUGGGGACCAAGAGCUCCAGAUCAACAGUGAAAACUGUGCAGGCUGGAGCUCUGAUAAAGCACACAAGGUGCUCAAACAGGCUUUUGGAGAGAAGAUUACUAUGACCAUUCAUGACAGGCCCUUUGAACGGACAAUUACUAUGCAUAAGGAUAGUAGUGGACAUGUUGGUUUCAUCUUUAAAAAUGGAAAGAUAACAUCCAUUGUGAAAGAUAGUUCUGCAGCCAGAAACGGUCUUCUCACUGAACAUAACAUCUGUGAAAUCAAUGGACAGAAUGUCAUUGGAUUGAAGGAUUCUCAAAUUGCAGACAUACUAUCAACAUCUGGGACUGUUGUUACCAUUACGAUCAUGCCCGCUUUUGUCUUUGAACACAUUAUUAAACGGAUGGCACCAAGCAUUAUGAAAAGCCUGAUGGAUCACACCAUUCCCGAGGUUUAAAAGUCAUGCACAACGUAAAUAGAGCUGAACAUCUUCAGUUUCCUUCUUCGGCAACUUCUGCAUUAUGCACAUGAAGCUUUCCUG